CCAAUCAACGGAAUCCGGCAAAGACUCGCCGAGACGUGGAGUGUAACGAUCACUGGUUUUACGCAACCUGUUCCUUUUAAUACCACUCCGGCCACCCAGGUACAUGGAUCGGUAGUCCUCGUUGGUAAGAUCAGCGAACCGGUUCAACCCGACCCUGUAGGUCCGAUUCUCAGAGUUAUGCUCAUCAAUGAACCUUAAAUUGUCUUUAAAAACCUGAAACCUCCUCUCCCUUUCUCCCAAAGCGUUGUAGGCCUUGCCGUGCUUCACCAGCCAGUCUUCGUAUAUAGCCAUGACCUCGUCAUCGGUUCUCCAGCUGGAUUUGGUAGCAUGUGUUUGAUCAUAAGAUAUGAUCGACAUGUCAGAGGCUGAGGACAAGGUGAAAGCGAAAAACAAGAGAACGAACAUGGCUGCUGAUGAUCUGAACAGACCCAUCUUUUUUCUGCUCUGGUUGUUUCGGAAGGGUGGAUUUGCUAUGACUGGGUAUGUGAAAAUAGUGGAGUGGUAGUGGGUUUAUAAAGGCAAAUGAGAGGAAUGUGUUUAUCGAGUAUUAAUACAAUAUAGAAGAAUUUGAUAAUUAAUUUAAGAUUUUUAAUUUUCGUAUAUAUGGGAAAUGAAAGACGGUAAAUUAAAUUCUUUAAUCGGAAGCUGGCGAAUGAGAGAGCCUGUGGAUAUGAUUUGAUUGGCUGUGAAA
rnacentral:misc_RNA from 1 species